rnacentral:rRNA from 1 species
AUUGAACGCUGGCGGCAUGCCUAACACAUGCAAGUCGAGCGGAGCGGCGGAAGGGUGGGUAAUACCUAGGAAUCUGCCCGGUAGUGGGGGAUAACGUUCGGAAACGGACGCGAAUACCGCAUACUAUCAGAUGAGCUUCGGUCGGAUUAGCUAGUUGGUGAGGUAAUGGCUCACCAAGGCUACGAUCCGUAACUGGUCUGAGAGGAGGAUCAGUCACACUGGAACUGAGACACGGUCCAGACUCCUACGGGAGGCAGCAGUGGGGAAUAUUGGACAAUGGGCGAAAGCCUGAUCCAGCCAUGCCGCGUGUGUGAAGAAGGUCUUCGGAUUGUAAAGCACUUUUAGUUGGGAGGCGUUACCGACAGAGUAAGCACCGGCUAACUCUGUGCCAGCCGCCGCGGUAAUUC